rnacentral:ncRNA from 1 species
AUUAAAUCGAUGAAUAAGAAGAGUAGGCAUACGCUGAAGCGUUACAGAGAGCCGGUUGUGGUGUGAUUCCGGUACGUGAAUGUAUGUUGAAUGGCCUUAUGAGAUGUUUCUUGAAGAAAAGUAGGGAAACACGGAGUUCCGCCGUUACACGGAUAGGGUUUAAGCUAUGCAAGCUGCAUACUUUGUACCUGAACCAGAGAUGAAGAGGGGUUAGUAAACUCCCUUCAACUGAGGUGGCACCGCGAUCGCAAUCGUCCUCUAU